CCCUCAUCACUGUCGAUUCAUUUUUCUCUUGCCCUUCCCUUCUCUCACUUCGUUUUCCAUUUCUUGCUUGAUUUUGAACAGGAUUUUAGCCUUUUAAAUUUGUGCAAAAUCAUCCAAGGUAAAAAUAACCGAAGAAAAUUGCUUGAUAGAAUUUGGUGAGAAUUGAUGGAAGCCAUGAACUGAGAUUCCAGUUGAGAGUUUAAAUAUCGGGAAAACAGCGAAAUUGAGGAACACUAUGGCAUGAAGUGGCUUCAGACACCAGCGAGACUGUAUAGCAUGUCCGCCGAAGUUAAUGUAAGGCAAAACCGUUUUUACAACUUGGGUAUGCGGAAGAAUAAAAUUUAUUUAUGAAUCUUCCCAUGGUUGAUCUAAUGCUUGCUUUGGAGAUACUAAUUUGUUUCAUGGUCCUGGGUUACUGGGUAUGUGAAUUAUGAAAAUCAACACGGAUGGAAGGUUGAAUUCUACACCAGGCUUCAGGGUCUUGUUUUUCCUGGAAAUGGUGAACCAAUUUUCCCAGCUACCAAAAUUAUCAAAGCUAUGUUUGCGAAAGUGGAUCUACAAGUCUCUAACCUCGGUUUCUGCAUGGUCACUGCAAUACAAACUCUCCAGCAAUACUCUCAACAGGUUUCAAGUUAUCUCUGUUAAGAAACUUAUCAUGUAAUUCUUCCUGAUAUAAGAACACCUACUUUUGAUUUUCAUGAAAACUCUCCACCAACCAAUGCACAAAGUCCAGCAACACCCCUUUAAAGGUUCGAAAGAUUCUAUAAUAACGAUGAAUGGCCAGUUGUAUGAAUUCCGUUGAAUCCUCCACAAAUGCAGCCAUUACAAAAUUCAGCACCUCCACUACCUGGUAAAAAAUUGUGUACCUCCACCAAUGGUUUUAAUACAAAAUUCAGAGCUUCCACCAAUGUUGAAGAUACAAAUUUCAGCACCUUCAAUGACGUCUGGAGCUUCCACCUAUGUUUCCAGUGAAAAGUUCAACACACACAACAACUGCCCCCAAUGACGUUGUGGCCAGUACAAAAUCCAAUACCUCCUAAAACUUUCCUAGAACUCAUCACGAUCCUUUGUAUUGCUGAUACAAAAUUUACUAGUGCCUCCACCAAUGUUUCUGAUACAAAAUUCUGGUCUCCACCAAUGUUUAUGAUACAAAUUUCAUCACUAUCGCUGACGUCGCCAGCAUGCAUUCAAGCACCACCACCAAUGCCCCAUUAAGUGUUUUCACCCUCCGAACCAGCAUCACCGAUCAUACAUUAACACUCUUGUUCCAAACCCAAAUACGAUCUUAGAGUAAGGAAACCAAAAGGAAGAUGUAUCCUUCUAUCGUCUCCAAGUCGGCGCAGCUUCCUGGAAUAAAUCUAGGGCUAAAGUGAAGCACAAUGCCUCCUUGAUCUGCACGUAUGUCGUUUCAUUGUUGUGGUGAUGAAUGCUAUAAACGCCUCAUUCAUUUAAAGCAUUUUUCAGAAGAUAACAGGGAAGAUGGAAUCCAUUUGUUUCUCAUAUUAUUGGAAGAAAUAUAUGCCGCCUUACUCUAUGGGGAUUAGAGAGAUCCGAGCCUGGGAAUUUUUUUCUGGUGUGCUAAAGACUUAAAGGUUAUAUUUCUCCUGAAUCUGAAUUGAGAACAACAUGGAGAGAUGUAGAUGUAAUGUUGGAACUUCUCACAGGAGGAGACGGAAGUCCUACGACAGGUAAACCAAACACUUCGUAUCUUUCAAAUAUUUUCCUAGGUUACUCGAGGGGAGCCUUUUCUCGGUGGAAUGAGAAAUACUUCAUCAUUUCAAUAAAAGACAGACAGUUUGCACGUCGCAUAUAUGGAUGAUUCAAUAUAAGUAGUUAUUUUAGAUUGAUAAAAGACGAUGCUAACACAGAUACGCAGUUUGCAAUAUCCAAGCAAAACUGAUCUUUUACCUCAUUUUUGUUCUUUAUUUUCCAAAAUAUGGAGAAGAACCAAAGUCCAUCAAGCAAAGAUGGAAAAUGUCGUCUUUCUUCUCUACAUUUAUUUCUAGAAUGCUAUGCUACAUAUAUAAUUAAAUAUAUAAUUGGGUUAUCUGAA